AUUGAACGCUGGCGGCAGGCCUAACACAUGCAAGUCGAACGAGUGGCGGACGGGUGAGUAAUGUCUGGGAAACUGCCUGAGGGAGGGGGAUAACUACUGGAAACGGUAGCUAAUACCGCAUACCAUCGGAUGUGCCCAGAUGGGAUUAGCUAGUAGGGGGGGUUAAGGGUCACCUAGGCGACGAUCCCUAGCUGGUCUGAGAGGAUGACCAGCCACACUGGACAGGAGACCCGGUCCAGACGCCUACGGUAGGCAGCAGUGGGGAAUAUUGCACAAUGGGCGCAAGCCUGAUGCAGCCCUGCCGCGUGGAUGAAGAAGGCCUUCGGGUUGUAAAGUACUUUCAGCGGGGAGGCGUUACCCGCAGAAGAAGCACCGGCUAACUCCGUGCCAGCAGCCGCGGUAAUUC
rnacentral:rRNA from 1 species